UACGUAGGGGGCAAGCGUUGACCGGAUUUAUUGGGCGUAAAGAGCGUGUAGGCGGCCAUACAGGUCAGCUGUGAAAACUCGAGGCUCAACCUCGAGACGUCGGUUGAAACCGUAUGGCUAGAGUCCGGAAGAGGAGAGUGGAAUUCCCGGUGUAGCGGUGAAAUGCGCAGAUAUCGGGAAGAACACCCGUGGCGAAGGCGGCUCUCUGGGACGGUACUGACGCUGAGACGCGAAAGCGUGGGGAGCGAACAGG
rnacentral:rRNA from 1 species